UCACGCUGACCACAUUUGUUCAGGGCAGGGGAUGGGAGUCUGCUCAGACACAGGUCUCUGCCUUCGAGGUGGUGGAUAAAACGAGGAACAGACUAAAGACGUGCCUUCGGACAAAGGAUGGGGAGAGCCUGGAGAGAGCGCAGAGCCUGGAGCAAUGAGUUCUGACCUGGCCUGAAAAAUGCCAGCACUACAGGGGGCAAAUAACCAUAGCAGCCCCCGGGGUGCUUUUAAUGAGCUGAAUUGCAGUCUUGAGUCCAGCCUUCCAUCACUCACAAGCCGCUGCCACAGCUGGUUUUAGCAGAUGUCUCCUCCGACAGAAAGGAUGCGGCAAAGCACAGUGGUUGACCUCGCCUCCAUCUCCUCUGGGUCCGCUCCGACCGCUGUGACUACAAAUAAAAGAUAAAGUCAGGAAAGGCCAAAAAGAAGAAAAGAUUCUCAGAUUUGUUUUAUGGGGAGUGAGAAUGUUCAGUGUGGAGAAGAGGAGGCUCAGGGAAGACCUCAUCACUUUCUACAACUCCCUGAAAGGAGGUUGUGGAGACCAUGGCCUCCUGGAAAUGUUUCCCUAUGAUGGAGAGGAUGGAGUCAGAUCGUUCGCACUCUGCUUUCUGG
ensembl:lncRNA